AUAAAUCAUUUACGAUUUUAUAAAAAGCGGUUCAUUUACUGUAAAUAUUAAAAUAGCGACAUUAUCUUAUAUUGAAAAGUCAUCCUUUUUAACAGGUGCUACAAUACAAUUACGACCCACUGAUGAUCUUUUUCCAUAAAAACACAGCUUUUUUACAAGAAGUACACGGUCGUAAAAAUUUUCAAUGGCAACACUGCUCUCAAAUCAAGUUGUCAUGUCCAGUCAAGACAUUCUAUUUCAAUUAUGUAUUAUUUAAACAUAAUAUUUAACGAUAUUUCAAGAUCUUUUUUUAGUUCUCUCUGUCACAAUAAUGCUGAUUACAUUUUUCUCAACCUAUCUAUUUCAAAAGAGCGUGUACUGCCGAGGCGGGGCUGGCGGCGCUGCUGCUGCGGCGGCUGC